AUGGUUGUCGUCAGCUCGUGUCGUGAGAUGUUGGGUUAAGUCCCGCAACGAGCGCAACCCCUAUUGUUAGUUGCCAUCAUUCAGUUGGGCACUCUAGCGAGACUGCCGGUAAUAAACCGGAGGAAGUGGGAUGACGUCAAAUCAUCAUGCCCCUUAUGACCUGGGCUACACACGUGCUACAAUGGUUGGUACAACGAGUUGCGAGUCGGUGACGGCGAGCUAAUCUCUUAAAGCCAAUCUCAGUUCGGAUUGUAGGCUGCAACUCGCCUACAUGAAGUCGGAAUCGCUAGUAAUCGCGGAUCAGCACGCCGCGGUGAAUACGUUCCCGGGCCUU
rnacentral:rRNA from 1 species